GGUUAAGCGACUAAGCGUACACGGUGGAUGCCCUGGCAGUCAGAGGCGAUGAAGGACGUGCUAAUCUGCGAUAAGCGUCGGUAAGGUGAUAUGAACCGUUAUAACCGGCGAUUUCCGAAUGGGGAAACCCAGUGUGAUCCGUCACACUAUCAUUACGUGAAUACAUAGCGUAAUGAAGCGAACCGGGGGAACUGAAACAUCUAAGUACCCCGAGGAAAAGAAAUCAACCGAGAUUCCCCCAGUAGCGGCGAGCGAACGGGGAGCAGCCCAGAGUCUGAAUCAGCUUGUGUGUUAGUGGAACGGUCUGGAAAGUCCGACGGUACAGGGUGAUAGUCCCGUACACCAAAAUGCACAGGUUGUGAACUCGAAGAGUAGGGCGGGACACGUGGUAUCCUGUCUGAAUAUGGGGGGACCAUCCUCCAAGGCUAAAUACUCCUGACUGACCGAUAGUGAACCAGUACCGUGAGGGAAAGGCGAAAAGAACCCCGGCGAGGGGAGUGAAAAAGAACCUGAAACCGUGUACGUACAAGCAGUGGGAGCCUCUUUAUGGGGUGACUGCGUACCUUUUGUAUAAUGGGUCAGCGACUUAUAUUCUGUAGCAAGGUUAACCGUAUAGGGGAGCCGAAGGGAAACCGAGUCUUAACUGGGCGUUAAGUUGCAGGGUAUAGACCCGAAACCCGGUGAUCUAGCCAUGGGCAGGUUGAAGGUUGGGUAACACUAACUGGAGGACCGAACCGACUAAUGUUGAAAAAUUAGCGGAUGACUUGUGGCUGGGGGUGAAAGGCCAAUCAAACCGGGAGAUAGCUGGUUCUCCCCGAAAGCUAUUUAGGUAGCGCCUCGUGAAUUCAUCUUCGGGGGUAGAGCACUGUUUCGGCUAGGGGGUCAUCCCGACUUACCAACCCGAUGCAAACUGCGAAUACCGAAGAAUGUUAUCACGGGAGACACACGGCGGGUGCUAACGUCCGUCGUGAAGAGGGAAACAACCCAGACCGCCAGCUAAGGUCCCAAAGUCAUGGUUAAGUGGGAAACGAUGUGGGAAGGCACAGACAGCCAGGAUGUUGGCUUAGAAGCAGCCAUCAUUUAAAGAAAGCGUAAUAGCUCACUGGUCGAGUCGGCCUGCGCGGAAGAUGUAACGGGGCUAAACCAUGCACCGAAGCUGCGGCAGCGACACUAUGUGUUGUUGGGUAGGGGAGCGUUCUGUAAGCCGUUGAAGGUGUAUCGUGAGGUAUGCUGGAGGUAUCAGAAGUGCGAAUGCUGACAUAAGUAACGAUAAUGCGGGUGAAAAACCCGCACGCCGGAAGACCAAGGGUUCCUGUCCAACGUUAAUCGGGGCAGGGUGAGUCGACCCCUAAGGCGAGGCCGAAAGGCGUAGUCGAUGGGAAACAGGUUAAUAUUCCUGUACUUGGUGUUACUGCGAAGGGGGGACGGAGAAGGCUAUGUUAGCCGGGCGACGGUUGUCCCGGUUUAAGCAUGUAGGCGGAGGUUCCAGGUAAAUCCGGUACCUUUUAACGCUGAGGUGUGAUGACGAGGCACUACGGUGCUGAAGUAACAAAUGCCCUGCUUCCAGGAAAAGCCUCUAAGCAUCAGGUAACACGAAAUCGUACCCCAAACCGACACAGGUGGUCAGGUAGAGAAUACCAAGGCGCUUGAGAGAACUCGGGUGAAGGAACUAGGCAAAAUGGUGCCGUAACUUCGGGAGAAGGCACGCUGAUAUGUAGGUGAAGUGAUUUACUCAUGGAGCUGAAAUCAGUCGAAGAUACCAGCUGGCUGCAACUGUUUAUUAAAAACACAGCACUGUGCAAACACGAAAGUGGACGUAUACGGUGUGACGCCUGCCCGGUGCCGGAAGGUUAAUUGAUGGGGUUAUCCGUAAGGAGAAGCUCUUGAUCGAAGCCCCGGUAAACGGCGGCCGUAACUAUAACGGUCCUAAGGUAGCGAAAUUCCUUGUCGGGUAAGUUCCGACCUGCACGAAUGGCGUAAUGAUGGCCAGGCUGUCUCCACCCGAGACUCAGUGAAAUUGAACUCGCUGUGAAGAUGCAGUGUACCCGCGGCAAGACGGAAAGACCCCGUGAACCUUUACUAUAGCUUGACACUGAACACUGGUCCUUGAUGUGUAGGAUAGGUGGGAGGCUUUGAAGUGUGGACGCCAGUCUGCAUGGAGCCAUCCUUGAAAUACCACCCUUUAAUGGCUGGUGUUCUAACGUGGACCCGUAAUCCGGGUUGCGGACAGUGUCUGGUGGGUAGUUUGACUGGGGCGGUCUCCUCCUAAAGAGUAACGGAGGAGCACGAAGGUUAGCUAAUCCUGGUCGGACAUCAGGAGGUUAGUGCAAAGGCAUAAGCUAGCUUGACUGCGAGAGUGACGGCUCGAGCAGGUGCGAAAGCAGGUCUUAGUGAUCCGGUGGUUCUGAAUGGAAGGGCCAUCGCUCAACGGAUAAAAGGUACUCCGGGGAUAACAGGCUGAUACCGCCCAAGAGUUCAUAUCGACGGCGGUGUUUGGCACCUCGAUGUCGGCUCAUCACAUCCUGGGGCUGAAGUAGGUCCCAAGGGUAUGGCUGUUCGCCAUUUAAAGUGGUACGCGAGCUGGGUUUAGAACGUCGUGAGACAGUUCGGUCCCUAUCUGCCGUGGGCGCUGGAGAAUUGAGGGGGGCUGCUCCUAGUACGAGAGGACCGGAGUGGACGCAUCACUGGUGUUCGGGUUGUCAUGCCAAUGGCAUUGCCCGGUAGCUAAAUGCGGAAGAGAUAAGUGCUGAAAGCAUCUAAGCACGAAACUUGCCCCGAGAUGAGUUCUCCCUGAGACUAUAAGUCUCCUGAAGGAACGUUGAAGACGACGACGUUGAUAGGUCGGGUGUGUAAGUGUAGCGAUACAUUGAGCUAACCGAUACUAAUGAACCGUGAGGCUUAACCUU
rnacentral:rRNA from 1 species